rnacentral:rRNA from 1 species
UACGUAGGGUGCAAGCGUUGUCCGGCAUCAUUGGGCGUAAAGAGCGUGUAGGCGGCUUGGUAAGUCCGCUGUGAAAGUCCAGGGCUCAACCCUGGAAAGCCGGUGGAAACUGUCAAGCUUGAGUCCGGAAGAGGCGAGUGGAAUUCCUGGUGUAGCGGUGAAAUGCGCAGAUAUCAGGAGGAACACCAAUGGCGAAGGCAGCUCGCUGGGACGGUACUGACGCUGAGACGCGAAAGCGUGGGGAGCAAACAGG